AUGGCGCAGUCAAACUUUUCGCUAUAUGCUACAAACCUCACGGCCGGCCGCAUCCCUCCGAUAAUCUCCUGCCCGUCAAAGGUACCAUCACAUGAUCAGCAUUCUUGUACCAUGCAGGACGAAGCGCAAGAUGGCCUGGACGGAUCAUACAAGGAGUUGUACCUGAAAGAGAACCCCGGUGGCGACGCAGAGGGGCACAUGUUAGCGCUGAUCGAGAGGGAGUGCUCAACAGGGAGUGCUUCUCCAGGCGGGCAUUGCCGCCCAGCAUGA
rnacentral:rRNA from 1 species